CCUACGGGGUGCAGCAGUAGGGAAUUUUCGUCAAUGGGCGCAAGCCUGAACGAGCAAUGCCGCGUGAACGAGGAAGGUCUUCGGAUCGUAAAGUUCUGUUGAUGGGGAAAAAGAGCGGUGAGAGGAAAUGGUCUCCGAUUGAUAUUACCCUUCGAGGACGUCACGGCUAACUACGUGCCAGCAGCCGCGGUAAUACGUAGGUGGCGAGCGUUAUCCGGAUUGAUUGGGCGUAAAGGGUGCGUAGGCGGCCUGCUAAGUCUGGAGUGAAAGGUACCGGCUCAACCGGUACAGGCUCUGGAAACUGGCGGGCUAGAGAGCAGGAGAGGGCGGUGGAACUCCAUGUGUAGCGGUAAAAUGCGUAGAUAUAUGGAAGAACACCAGUGGCGAAGGCGGCCGCCUGGCCUGUUACUGACGCUGAGGCACGAAAGCGUGGGGAGCAAAUAGGAUUAGAUACCCGGGUAGUC
rnacentral:rRNA from 1 species